AACUCUCAACAACGGAUAUCUUGGCUCCCGUAACGAUGAAGAACGCAGCGAAAUGCGAUACGUAGUGUGAAUUGCAGAAUUCCGUGAACCAUCGAAUCUUUGAACGCAAAUUGCGCUUGAGGCUUCGGCCAAGAGCAUGUCUGGCUCAGC
rnacentral:rRNA from 1 species